rnacentral:rRNA from 1 species
UACGGGGGGAGCAAGCGUUGUUCGGAUUUACUGGGCGUAAAGGGCGCGUAGGCGGCCUGUGCAAGUCAGUUGUGAAAUCUCCGAGCUUAACUCGGAAAGGUCAACUGAUACUGCUCGGCUAGAGUGCGGAAGGGGCAACUGGAAUUCUUGGUGUAGCGGUGAAAUGCGUAGAUAUCAAGAGGAACACCUGCGGCGAAGGCGGGUUGCUGGGCCGACACUGACGCUGAGACACGAAGGCCAGGGGAGCAAACGGG